rnacentral:rRNA from 1 species
AACUGGAGAUAAUACCUGAUAGAGGAUAAAUACUGGAAGGUUUUAUUCUUCAAAGCUUCGGCACCUGAGGAUGGGACUGCGUCGGAUUAGCUUGUUGUCGGGAUAAUUACCCGACAAGGCGAUAAUCCGUACGGGUUGUGAGAGCAAUAGCCCGGAGAUGGAUUCUGAGACAUGAAUCCAGGUCCUACGGGACGCAGCAGGCGCGAAACCUUCACAAUGCCUGAAAGGGUGAUGAGGGAACUCUGAGUGACUUCGCAAUGCGAAGUCUUUUGCCAAGUGCAAAAAGCUCGGUGAAUAAGUGGUGGGCAAGACAGUUGCCAGCCGCCGCGGUAAUAACUGCGCCACGAGUGGUGAUCUCGUUUAUUGGGCUUAAAGCGUUCGUAGCCGGUUUUAUAAGCAUCUGGUGAAAUCCGAUAGUAAACUAUUGGGCUGGCUAGGUGUACUGUAAGACUAGGGACCGGUAGGGGCCGGGAGUACUCCUAGGGUAGGGGUUAAAUCCUUUAAUCCUAGGGGGACUACCAGUGGCGAAGGCGCCCGGCUAGAACGGGUCCGACGGUGAGGGACGAAAGCUGGGGGAGCGAUCCGGAUUAGAUACCCGGGUAGUCCCAGCUGUAAACGAUGCCCGCUUGGUGUGGUGAAACUUUCGUGGUUUUGCCGUACCGUAGC